rnacentral:rRNA from 1 species
CCCUUAGAUGUUCUGGGCCGCACGCGCGCUACACUGACGAAGUCAGCGAGCAUCUCCUACGCCGAAAGGUGCGGGGAAUCUUGUGAAACUUUGUCGUGCUGGGGAUUGAUUUUUGAAAUUCUUGAUCAUCAACGAGGAAUUCCUAGUAAGCGCAAGUCAGCAGCUUGCGUUGAUUACGUCCCUGCCCUUUGUACACACCGCCCGUCGCUACUACCGAUUGAAUGGUUUAGUGAGAUUUUUGGACUGGAACUCUCUUGUUCAGUAAUGAACGAGAGGGACUCUGGGAAGCUAUUCUAACUGUAUCAUUUAGAGGAAGUAAAAGUCGUAACA